GGCAACUUGGCCGAGUGGUCUAAGGCGCUGGAAUUAGGUAGUGGGUGACCCAAUUUGUCCAUAAUCCAGUCCGCAAGGGCGUGAGUUCGAACCUCACAGUUGUCA